rnacentral:rRNA from 1 species
AAAGAUUAAGCCAUGCAUGUAUAAGUAUAAACGAUUUUAUCGUGAAACCGCGAACGGCUCAUUAUAACAGCUAUAAUUUACUUGAUCUUGACUUCCUACUUGGAUAACUGUGGUAAUUCUAGAGCUAAUACAUGCACCAAAGCUCCGACCUCACGGGAAGAGCGCAUUUAUUCGAACAAAACCAAGCGGCUUCGGCCGUUCGCAGUUGACUCAGAAUAACUAAGCCGAUCGCAUGGUCUUGAACCGGCGACGUGUCUUUCAAGUAUCUGCCUUAUCAACUUUCGAUGGUAGUGUAUCUGACUACCAUGGUGGUGACGGGUAACGGAGGAUAAGGGUUCGACUCCGGAGAAGGGGCCUGAGAAAUGGCCACUACGUCUAAGGAUGGCAGCAGGCGCGCAAAUUACCCACUCUCAGAAUGAGGAGGUAGUGACGAGAAAUAACGAGACCGUUCUCUACGAGGCCGGUCAUCGGAAUGGGUACAAUUUAAACCCUUUAACGAGUAUCUAUGAGAGGGCAAGUCUGGUGCCAGCAGCCGCGGUAAUUCCAGCUCUCAAAAUGCAUAGAAUUAUUGCUGCGGUUAAAAAGCUCGUAGUUGGAUCUGUGCCGUUGGACCCGGUCCACCUUAACGGGUGCGCACUGGGCUCCCCGGCUUUCUGCCGGUUUUCCUGUCGUGGCCUUAACUGGUUGCGGCGGGUGGCUGGCGAUUUUACUUUGAACAAAUCAGAGUGCUUAAAACAGGCGUUUCGCUUGAAUGUUCGUGCAUGGAAUAAUAGAAAAGGAUUUCGGUUCUAUUUUAUUGGUUUUAUAGACUGAGAUAAUGGUUAACAGAGACAAACGGGGGCAUUCGUAUUGCUGCGUGAGAGGUGAAAUUCUUGGACCGCAGCAAGACGAACUACAGCGAAAGCAUUUGCCAAGAAUG